AUUGAACGCUGGCGGCAGGCCUAACACAUGCAAGUCGAGCGGAUGAAGGGAGCUUGCUCCUGGAUUCAGCGGCGGACGGGUGAGUAAUGCCUAGGAAUCUGCCUGGUAGUGGGGGAUAACGUCCGGAAACGGGCGCUAAUACCGCAUACGUCCUGAGGGAGAAAGUGGGGGAUCUUCGGACCUCACGCUAUCAGAUGAGCCUAGGUCGGAUUAGCUAGUUGGUGGGGUAAAGGCCUACCAAGGCGACGAUCCGUAACUGGUCUGAGAGGAUGAUCAGUCACACUGGAACUGAGACACGGUCCAGACUCCUACGGGAGGCAGCAGUGGGGAAUAUUGGACAAGGGGCGAAAGCCGGAUCCAGCCAUGCCGCGUGUGAAGAAGGUCUUCGGAUUGUAAAGCACUUUAAGUUGGGAGGAAGGGCAGUAAGUUAAUACCUUGCUGUUUUGACGUUACCAACAGAAUAAGCACCGGCUAACUUCGUG
rnacentral:rRNA from 1 species